rnacentral:misc_RNA from 1 species
AAAUGCGAUAAGUAAUGUGAAUUGCAGAAUUCAGUGAAUCAUCGAAUCUUUGAACGCACAUUGCGCCCGCCAGUAUUCUGGCGGGCAUGCCUGUUCGAGCGUCAUUACAACCCUCAGGCCCCCGGGCCUGGCGUUGGGGAUCGGCGGAAGCCCCCUGCGGGCACAACGCCGUCCCCCAAAUACAGUGGCGGUCCCGCCGCAGCUUCCAUUGCGUAGUAGCUAACACCUCGCAACUGGAGAGCGGCGCGGCCACGCCGUAAAACAACCAACUUCUGAAUGUUGACCUCGAAUCAGGUAGGAAUACCCGCUGAACUUAAGC